CGGCAGGCUGCGCGGGUUCAUCGCCGCGCUGCCGCGGCGGCUGACCACCUGCGCGGUGCCGGUCUUGCCGGC
rnacentral:tRNA from 1 species